GAUGAACGCUGGCGGCGUGCCUAAUACAUGCAAGUCGAGCGAACGGACGAGAAGCUUGCUUCUCUGAUGUUAGCGGCGGACGGGUGGGUAACACGUGGAUAACCUACCUAUAAGACUGGGAUAACUUCGGGAAACCGGAGCUAAUACCGGAUAAUAUUUUGAACCGCAUGGUUCAAAAGUGAAAGACGGUCUUGCUGUCACUUAUAGAUGGAUCCGCGCUGCAUUAGCUAGUUGGUAAGGUAACGGCUUACCAAGGCAACGAUGCAUAGCCGACCUGAGAGGGUGAUCGGCCACACUGGAACUGAGACACGGUCCAGACUCCUACGGGAGGCAGCAGUAGGGAAUCUUCCGCAAAGGGCGAAAGCCUGACGGAGCAACGCCGCGUGAGUGAUGAAGGUCUUCGGAUCGUAAAACUCUGUUAUUAGGGAAGAACAUAUGUGUAAGUAACUGUGCACAUCUUGACGGUACCUAAUCAGAAAGCCACGGCUAACUACGUG
rnacentral:rRNA from 1 species